AGCAAGGCAAGAACAACAACCAAACUAUGCAACCAACCAGUCUCGGGCCUUCAGUGUCUCUCUGGCCGGCGAAGAGAGAGGGCGCACGCCGCUGAUCUCCGGGCCCGUGACUUUGACUCUUGGCUUCGGAAAGUCGACAUAAUUUCUCGAACUAGCACCGCGUCCUUGGCUAUUCCCGUGACCCAAGGCGACCGGUGGUGCCACGAAGGCCUACGGUGACGCCUCUGAAGUGCUGAGUGACGGAAAAUACGAUAGAGAGAUAAAAAAGGGAGGAUUCGAACCCGCUGCGUCCUGAGUGAUCGUGAUGUAUCGGUGAAAAGUGUUGUGUCGAGUGCGCUGAAGCUUCGCCCAGAGUGGUCGUUGAGGGGCUCGAUCGUGGGUUCACCGGCGCGCGGAGCAAAAACUUAAAAAGAAAAAGAUCGGAAGAGAGAGAAAAAAAAGUUAGCAAGUACUGGAGGAUCAUUGAGCAGGAAGGAGAUCUAAGAAAUUUACUGAGGUGACUUGUGGGAAAUCGGUGACCUGACCUCGGUUGACCUGGGCUGCCCCGUGAAGCAUGUGGUGGGCGGCGGUGGUGGUGGCGGUGGUGGUGAUGGAGGGCGCUGCAGGCCGGCUCGAGAAACGGAGGAUGAAGACCGUGCCCACGUUGAGGAGGAGGAGGAGGCGUCGUAGUACUGUCCUUUUCGUCACUUAGUACGCCACUGCGGGAACGUCCAGCAACCAGACCCCUUGAAGAAUAUUUUCCAUGUGUCGUGAGCGGCGGGGUCAUCAGCCUACCAGGGACACUUAAAGGAGAGCGUCGAGGUACUGCUACAGGGGAACACCACGACGCUCUUUGAAGGGAAACGGUACCUUCGUGUUGCAGGGGUCGUGCUAGAUGGAAAGGGGUGAGAAUAUAAUAAAGGAUAGUAAUGGAAGUUCUCUGUAGGAUCGUUAGAGUCAAAAUACAGUUGAAUGAGGUAUAAUGACCACUUCAAGAGAGCGCUUGCCCCCUUCCAAGUGGCGCUCUUGACCGUCCACGAUUGCUACUUGGACUCUGUUAGUGUAUGUGUGUGUGUGUGUGUGUGUGUGUAUGUGUUGUUGGUGGUAUUUAUUUGUUACUGUUGACAUAUUUAUAAGUAUUUAAAGGUGUAUAUAGUUGUGUGUGUGUGUGUGUGUGUGUGUGUGUGUGUGUGUGUGUGCGUGUGCGUGUGCGUGCGGGCGCUGAGCUGCCACCGUUAAUGAAGCAGCGGAAAAAAAUCGAGAAAAAAAUAUGAGCAGGUCACCGUCUCGCGGGAACCAUUUAAAACUGAUUAAGUGAUGGA